GGUCUGGGGACAGCCUGGGGACUCGGGAGCCGGACGGGGGUGCUGGGCAAAGACGUGGCUGUAGUUCUCGGAGCUCCCAGCACCAUAUGAGGCUCACAGACCACAGGCUCUGAUGUGUUUCGCUUGAAAAAGCAGGCAGUGUUUUCCUCUGAAGCGUGGUUCCAGUGCGGUGUUUGGCUGCGGCCAGAGGAGGAGGUUGUAAUUAGUCGUGAAAGUGCAUCUUCUAGGACAGGAAGGCACCGGCGGGUCUUCACGGAGGUUUCCAUUCUUCUGCCCCAUUUUCCGAGUCAGCACAGCACGCAUUUGGAGGAAGUUGCCCUUCCUUUCCUCUGGAUUUAUUCUCCUCCACCCCUUUUCCUCUUCAUCCACCCUCAAGAGUGUUGGAUGAUUCCCCAGCUUGUGCAAAGCCUCUUCAGGACGUCGUUGGACUGCGUGGAUCAUAAAUUAUAAGAUAGCUCCAGCACCUCCCACUUCUCACGACCCGCACCGCCUGCUACCACUGAUCCAAGUCGCCACCAGCUCACGAUUGGACCAUUUUUUUUUUUAAACCAAG